rnacentral:lncRNA from 1 species
GGGUCGUUUGGUGUGAGGGAUAAUACCAAAUAGUCCCGGGAUUAAAUUAUAGUACCGCUUAUUUUGUUGUUUGGUUGGCAAGUUCGGGAUAACUUAUCCCGGGAUUAAUAAUUAGUACUGGGAUAAGUUAUCCCUAACCUAGGGUGGUAUAGUAAUCCCGGGAUAACUUAUCCCGGGAUAAAAUAGGUAAAUGACAAAAAUGUCUCUGUCAAC